CGCAGAAAGCAGUCAUUAAGAAGCCCUCGUUUUCGCCUCCAAUGUGCAUUCCUUGUGUAUCCUUGAGACUCUGCAGGAGCAUCCCUCUGGCCAGCGUGUCCUUUUCAUAAUUAGUGUGGGCGCAUUAUGGAGACCUUUAAUGCAUGCGGUGACCGUGCCGGACCAGCCAGCUGCCAGGGGAGCCUUGAACUUGAGACACCAGGCCAGCCUCGGCCAAUGGAAGCAAGUGCAGCCUUCUGUCCAGAGACAAAGAGGUCACAGGAGAUCCACAACGUGCCAGAGGCCCAUCAGACAGAAUGAGGGAAGAUCAAAACAUCACGAUCCUGACCGUUUGAGGCUGAACUAGACAUUACCAAACACUAGAGUCCUUCCAUCUUUGACUGCGAUUCCACACAAGAGCUGAGCGAAAUGGCCUACCUUACUGCUACCAAUAGAGCACUAUAUGGAAGGAUGCGCCUUACGACCUUAGAGCAUUUGUUCCUUCAAUCAGUGCCCAGGCCAGCAUUAAUGAGAGCAAAUCCAAAUCAUAUUUGUUCAUUUCAGAUAUUUUAAUACAUAAAAAGAUGUUAACAUAAAAAAAUACUUAAACAACUAAACCUAAGAGCAUCCAGGUGAUGCUGCUUCAGCCAGGCUCAGCCAGAUCAAAAAGAGUAUGAAUACUUAUCUAAGGAAAACAGACUAAACCAAUUCAUACACCAGUAUGAACCUUUGUAUUUUUAUGUGAUGAUGUCACAUAUGUACACAAUUUGUACAAGUGCAUUAACAACAAAAUUGGCGUAAUUGGCAAAAAUACAAAAUCUGUUACUAUAUAUUUGUGGGGUUUAAGGAAAUAUCACUCACCAUAUAAGUUGUUAUUCAUACACCAAAUA